CGAACUCUUCCCGUCUUCUUCAAGUUUUUCCCAAAUUGAGGUAAACGUCAACGAAUCUUAAUCGAAUUUAACCUACAUGGAUAAAAAUAUAAACCAUGGAAAAACAUUGCUUGGAUCUUGUUCCCUGGACCUUGGACUUUUGGUGUGGAUGAUCAGUAUGCUCUGUACAUUUCAAUUGAAGCACAGUGUGAUUUCACUGAGGUCUGAAGAAGAGGUUGAAAGAUCCAAAAAGGCGGUGAAAACACAAUACAGGUAGUUGUCAUGAUGAGUGGUAUAGUCUUAAACUAAUGUUUAAAGAUGUACCCCCCCCAAAAGAAAUAUAUAUUUCAGGGUGAUGUAGAUUCCCCCCCCAAGAAGUCACAUCAGCAUCCAGCUCUGCAGGAUCAGACGAUACUGAAAACAAAAUGCACUGGGGGCUGUGAACUGGGAAGCAGCUGUUCUUCUAAGGAACACCCUAGAGGCAGCAAGGUGGCGCGAACUCUGAACAUUUAAAGGCACUGUUUCCCUCCCCCUAGUGUAAUUGGGAUGGAUGGGGAAGACUGCAUUUACAACCCUUAAAGAACUAUGGUUGUAUGAUGGCCAGGAUGAAGAGGAAACUUAAUAUCCUCAAGGAACCAUUCAUGUUACAGAGAGAUUAUGAGAUGUUUGAUUUAUUUAUUUUUUAUUUUACCUUUAUUUAACCAGGUAGGCAAGUUGAGAACAAGUUCUCAUUUACA